GGCCGGUAACACUGAGAUGGAUAACAAUAUCCCAAUACCAUCUGCUCUCGCCAGUUUUAGCCCCAGGCAGCACCAUCUUCAAAUGAGCCUUUACGUCGUGUCACGUGACCUCCACGACAGCCUCCUCAUCUCUGAACCCCAUGCUGUACCCUCCAUGAUCAGCUGAGACCUGAGUGACAUCAUGUUGGCUCUGCUGAUUCUGUCUAUGUUUCAACAUGGCCUGUCUCUGAAGACGCCCCCUGAGGUACUGGGGUAGAGUUGGGGGGGAACCAGUUUGUCUACGCUGUGAUCAGGACAACACCACCAAGACUGUCCUGUUCUGGUACCAGAUGAGAAGAAGUUCCUUCCAGUUGGUACUGUUCUCCUUUGGCCAGGCGGUGGAUGUAGAGGCUGAACACGAGAGGAAUCUCUCUGACUCUGUUUGUGGACAAGACUCAGCUCUCUCACAACGCGGAGUACUACUGCGCCAUACAGGGUACACAGUGAGCAGUCUGGAUCUGCGUCCCUGACAACAACAAAAAAUGACCUCAAAGCUCAGGAGGAGUGGUGGGGGGGCUGAGAAGGAGGCGGGGUACGUGUGUGUGUGUGUGUGUGUGUGUGUGUGUGUGUGUGUGUGUGUGUGUGUGUGUGUGUGUGUGUGUGUGUGUGUGCGUGCGCGUGCGCGUGCGUGCAUGGUGAGUGUUGAGACAGAAUGAAUGGCUGUUGUAUCCUCUAGGGGGCUCUCAGAUACCAGAACUAAACUACAGCCCUCCUGAGAUGCUGACCUGUUGCACCCUCUACAACCACUGUGAUUAUUAUUAUUUGACCCUGCUGGUCAUCUAUGAACGUUUGAACAUCUUGGCCAUGUUCUGUUAUAAUCUCCAACCUGCAAAGCCAGAAGAGGACUGGCCACCCCUCAUAGCCUGGUUCCUCUCUAGGUUUCUUCCUAGGUUCCUGCCUUUCUGGAUAAUUUUUUCCUAGCCACUGUGCUUCUACAUCUGCAUUGCUUGCUGUUUGGGGUUUUGAUGUAAAAAAAAGGGCUUUAUAAAAACAUUUGAUUGAUUGACAACAUAUACAACUCUCCCAGUCAGACAACAUGGUUGCUGUGGGCCUUCUCCUGCUGCUGCCACUAGAACCAUCAACAUGAUCAAGCUUCUCAUACAUGUUGCAACUCUACCACUGUGGGUGACAGGGCUGUCACAAACAGACAAAGUCCAGCAGACUCCUACUGCAAUACUAAAAGGACCUGAAGAUAACGUUCAACUGAACUGCAGCCAUACUAUUCCAACCUACAACAUUAUACUGUGGUACCAGCAGUCAGCACAAAACACUGCUCUGAAACUCAUUGGGUAUGUGUUCCUCACCAGUCCUACUGUGGAAGAUUCCUUUAAAGAGCGUUUUACUGUGA
rnacentral:lncRNA from 1 species